AAGAAUAUUGACCCAUCUUAGAAUCUCACCGUUUAAUAAAUCAAAACGAUGAUUAACAUAUACAGAUCAUAAUAGUUAUAUCAGGAUUAAGAAUAUAAGUACAUUUAAUAGUUUAGAGAAUAUGCUUUUGUCAGUCAGUCUAAAGCAACUAUCUCUACUCGGCCCGUUCAAUACAUACAUAAUGCACUAGCACAAGAAGUUGGAACUAUACCAUUCCCAUAAUCAAGAUAAACUACAUAUAAUCUUGUGCUACAAUCGUCCCGAUGGCAUGUCCAAUUUCCAUCUUAGAUUGUGAACAAAAAAAACUUUAUACUUAUAAGAACCGAUGAUUUAAUCCUCUGUGUAUAAGCUUAAACUCUAUACACUAAAUCAUCUACUAUAUAAGUAAACAAGCACCAUAAACGAAUAUAUGAUCUAUUAUAAUAAA
rnacentral:lncRNA from 1 species